UUUUAGGUGGCCGAGGAGAAGGUGUUAGACUUUUAAUCUAAUAACAGCUAGUUUAGCUUCUAGAAA
rnacentral:tRNA from 1 species